GGAUGUGAGGGUAAUCUGGCUGUGACGUGUCACACCAUUGAUCACCACGGUUGAUUUGGCUGAUCUGGCAGGCUAGGAAGGUGUCCCCUUCCCCCUUCCCCACUCCAUGUGCAUCCCUCCCGAAGUUGCAUGCUCCAAUAGAGGAUAGGAGUAGGGAUAGGAGUAGCUGUGCUCCCCUGCUAGGCCCACCAAACAAGCUCCCAAGAUGUGUUAUGUACAUAUACCCACACCACAAAGGCAAUGUAUGCAUUACGUG
rnacentral:snRNA from 1 species